GGGAUCCCCCCCAAACUGGGACCCUAUGGAACUGGGACACCCCCAAACUGGGACCCUAUGGAACUGGGACCCCCAAAACUGGGAUCCCCCCCAAAACUGGGACCCUAUUGGACUGGGACCCCCAA
rnacentral:lncRNA from 1 species